GACGAACGCUGGCGGCGUGCCUAAUACAUGCAAGUCGAGCGGACGAUUCGAAAGCUUGCUUUUGAAUCGUUAGCGGCGGACGGGUGAGUAACACGUGGGCAACCUGCCCUGUAGACGGGGAUAACACCGAGAAAUCGGUGCUAAUACCGGAUAACACGAAAUGUCGCAUGACGUUUCGUUGAAAGGCGGCGCAAGCUGCCGCUACAGGAUGGGCCCGCGGCGCAUUAGCUAGUUGGUGAGGUAACGGCUCACCAAGGCGACGAUGCGUAGCCGACCUGAGAGGGUGAUCGGCCACACUGGGACUGAGACACGGCCCAGACUCCUACGGGAGGCAGCAGUAGGGAAUCUUCCGCAAUGGACGAAAGUCUGACGGAGCAACGCCACGUGAGCGAAGAAGGCCUUCGGGUCGUAAAGCUCUGUUGUUAGGGAAGAACAAGUAACGUAGUAACUGACGUUACUAUGACGGUACCUAACGAGAAAGCCACGGCUAACUACGUG
rnacentral:rRNA from 1 species